UGCCAGCCGCCGCGGUAAUACGGAGGGUGCAAACGUUGCUCGGAAUCAUUGGGCGUAAAGCGCGCGUAGGCGGCUUGAUAAGUCGGAUGUGAAAGCCCUCGGCUUAACCGGGGAAGUGCAUUCGAAACUGGCGAACUUGAGUACGGGAGAGGAAAGUGGAAUUCCGAGUGUAGGGGUGAAAUCCGUAGAUAUUCGGAGGAACACCAGUGGCGAAGGCGGCUUUCUGGACCGAUACUGACGCUGAGACGCGAAAGCGUGGGGAGCAAACAGGAUUAGAUA
rnacentral:rRNA from 1 species